rnacentral:lncRNA from 1 species
AGCAAGUAUGAAAUUCUUUUCAGCAACAGAAAGCAAGCAGCAAUUUAUUUUCCAGCAAACAUGCAACUUCUGUCAGCAGAUUCUAACCAACUGGACAAUAGUUUAUGUAACAAGAGCACUCAAUUCAACCAGGAGAACAUUUUAGAAGUAAAAACCAGCUUUCAAGCUAUCACUUCUAAACUCGAGCACAAUCUCAACAGACACCAAUUUUCGGCAGAUUAAGCUUACCGUAUGCUCAACCAAAUCAAAAUUCAAG